rnacentral:rRNA from 1 species
AUGCGGCGCACCAACCAGCAGCAGGCGGAUCCGGCCACCGUGGAUACCGCACGCACGCAUCCAUUCGCAGCUCAUGGGCGCCAUGGAUCCCGCGCGCAAGCAUCCUCCCACGUCAUUCCUCUGCUGACUUACCACCACGCGCCGCCGCCGAAACAUCCCAAUCCCACCCGCCUCCCCCGUGUCACCGGCGACCCUUCGCGCUACCGCCUGGCGCGGCCGACCUCCACGGCAGCAGACGCUGUGGCUCCCUUCCUGGCAGCACCCGUGCGUCUCUCCGGACAGUCCUCUGCACAUCUAUGGCCGUUGGUCAAUGGUGUUGUAGCUACUAGGAAAGAGAGAAACGCCAUGGAGGUGUCUAGUGUUGUGCAAUAUAAUCAAAAUAUGGUGAGGCACAAUAGCAUGAGUGCCAAGGAAUUGAAGGCGCCAACGCACGCAACUGUACAAGCUUCAUCUAUACUCUAUAUUGGCUUCUUUGGUAUUCGAAUUCCCUCUGCUGAAGCACUGAAAGAGGACAUCAAGCCAAACUUCAUAACACCACCAAACCUGUCUGGUAAGAGUCGUGUUAGAUCCUAUACGUGA